rnacentral:rRNA from 1 species
UAAUACAGAGGUCUCAAGCGUUGUUCGGAAUUACUGGGCGUAAAGGGUGCGCAGGCCGCGCGGGCAGUCAAAUGUGUAAUCCAGGGGCUCAACCCCUGAACUGCGCUUGAUACUUCCGCGCUCGAGCUUUGGAGAGGAGUCUGGAAUUCUCGGUGUAGCAGUGAAAUGCGUGGAUAUCGAGAAGAACACUUAGGGCGUAGGCAAGACUCUGGACAAAUGCUGACGCUCAUGCACGAAGGCUAGGGUAGCGAACGGGAUUAGAUACCCCGGUAGUCCUAGCUGUAAACGGUGCACGUUUGGUGUGGGAGGCAACCCCUUCCGUGCCGAAGCUAACGCGAUAAACGUGCCGCCUGGGUAGUACGGUCGCAAGACUA